rnacentral:misc_RNA from 1 species
UAACUGUGAAGACCGUUUCCUGCGACCGUCCAACCAGAAGGGUCUACACCGAGGGGUAGCCACAACACGACGCCUCCUGAGCCGACCAAGCUGACAGCCAAUCAAGAGAGUCACCUAAAGGAUAUCCCGGGAGCUACUCAUUGAGAUAUCCGUGGGAUUGCCUUCGUCUGUCUGGGAUAAUUUGGGAUAUCCUCAGGAUAAAGUGUGCUGUGUGGGUUACGGCCGGCUAGGCCGUUAUUUGUUCUCGGAAGUCUGUAUUAAAUUAAAUCUCUCUGAUAAAAGCGUGUGAGACAUUAAAGUGGAUAGACCUAACCUCCCCGGUGGGCUGGGGCCGGCGGAUGGCCACGUGCCAUCCCCGCCUUCGCCUCCAUAUGAAGAGAUAUCGAACGAUCUGAAGAAAUUUUGCACACAAAUCAGUAAAAAUAUGUCUCAAGAAGAAGUCAUGGAUAUAAGCCCGGUGGAAAUAACGUCUGCAAAGAGAGCUCUUUCAACAGAAGGUGAGUCGGACAAUCGUCAGCCUCCCCCCAAAAAUCAAAAGAAGAUCCGAAAGCCCCCUUCCAAGGAGGCUAAGGAACAUGAGGCAGCCUCAACUUCAUCUGAAAUAGUGACCGGCACGCAGUCCAAGGACCUCCCAGUGAAAUAUGGUGCCUUUACAAAGGCCCCAUAUGUUUUACACUUUAGACUGCCCUCCUCAAAGACGGACAAGGAAAAGACGAGAAAGAGGACCUCCCUGCUAAAGGUAUCAAAAAUGCUUGCUAAUGCCAACGUCAAAUUUUUGAAUCUAAGAAACUAUUCGUUCGACAUGUGGGUGGCUACUUUUCCCACGAAAACGGCAGCUAAUGCAGUACUCUCUAAUAAAUAUAUAAAAGAUGCAGGCUUUGCUGUUUUUAUUCCGGCAUACAAGCUAACACGCAAGAUGGUCAUCAGAAAUAUUCCUAUAGAAUUUUCUCUAGAAGAAAUAAAGAAGGCAAUAGAGGAGGAAAACUCCGACAUUAUGAUACAUAAUAUUUUUAGAUUAAAGAAGAAGGAUCGCACCACUGCCCUAUGGACCGACUCAGAAAAUAUAUGUGUGCAAAAAAUGGGGGAGGACAUCCCAGAGAGCCUCCUUAUCAUGCGCACAAUAAACACAGUCACACCCUACAUCUCAUCGGUCAGACUAUGUUAUAAAUGUGGCUAUUUUGGUCACAUUAGCAAAUACUGCGAAAGGAAUCCAAGAUGUCUUCAAUGUGGAGAGAGUGAUCACCAAAGCUCAAAGGAUCAGCCGUGCCAAAAGGAAAAAAAAUGCAUAAACUGCUCCGGUUCUCAUUCAACCACAGAUAGAGAGUGCCCUCUUUACGUUAGAAACGCUGAAAUAGCAAGAGUGAUGGCUUAUGAUAAUCUCUUUGAGGCCAAAACUCUGGUUAUCAGGCAAGAAAAGAAGACACCUGUAAUAACACCGCCGAAAACAAUCAAGAAUUUUCCCCUUCUCCCACAAAAGAAGGGAGUGUCUUUGGUCGACAAUCCGGCUAUGUUCCAGUCAUCAGUCAAGAGCGAUCGGUUAUGGACACAAUUAUUCACCCAUUGCGCGGCAGAGGUUAAGGCUAGAGCGUACCGCCUGCUGGACUGGCUGCUGGAAUUAGAAGAAAUUGAUGACCUAUUUGACAGGAUGGAGAAGACUUUGGAAAACCACAAGAUAGUAGUGGAACACACAAAACAAAAAAGACUUGGCUAACUAAUCAAAAUACUUUCCUCUUGAGAGGAUUUGACAUAAUUAGGAAGGACAGAGAGAACAGAAAAGGCGGCGGAGUGGCGAUAAUUGUGUCUCACUCUCUUAAGUAUCGAGCCAUCCAGAUACCAUACGAUUGCUUAGGCAAGAUAGAGGUUUGUGCGGCGGAAAUUUUUCUUGUCGACCAAGAAAAUGAUGUUCUUAGUAUAUACACUAAGCAUAUACACAACUUUUGUGGCCUCAAUCGAAAAGGCUGUAAAGGAAGCAUCAGCCCCGCUUAAGGACCGCCUUUCCAUAGGCCCUCCUCCGUGCUUAUGGUGGUCAAGAGAAUGCGACAAUCUCGUCAAUGAUAGAAAACUGGCAUGGCACAGAUUUAACAUCACGAGAAAUUACGAAGAUUUUGAGCGCUACAAACAG